GACGAACGCUGGCGGCGUGCCUAACACAUGCAAGUCGAGCGCUGAAGGUCGGUACUUGUACCAACUGGAUGAGCAGCGAACGGGAGAGUAACGCGCGGGGACUCUGCCUUGGAGCGAGGGACAACAUUCGGUAACGAAUGCUAAUACCGCAUAAAAACUUUAGACACAAGCCUUAAGUUUGAAAGAUGCAAUUGCAUCACUCAACGAUGUUCCCGCGUUGUAUUAGGUAGGUGGGUGGGUAAAGGCUCACCAAGGCGAUGUGACAUAGCCGACCUGGGAAGGAGGUCGGCCACAUUGGGGCUGGGGAACGGCCCAAACUCCUUCGGGGAGCAGCAGUAGGGAAACUUCGGCAAAGGGGGGAAAUCUGACCGAACAACGCCGCGGGAGUGAAGGAGGGUUUCGGAUCGUAAAACUCUGUUGGUAGGGAAGAACGUUGGUGAGAGUGGAAAGGGCAGCAAGUGACGGUAACGACACAGAAAGGGACGGCUAACUACGUG
rnacentral:rRNA from 1 species